UUUUUUUUUUUUUUUUUUUUUGGUCUCUGUUGGCUGCUCUUGAACGUGAGUAAAUGCUGUGCAGGGAGAGAGGAGGGAGAGCCACCACAGCCACACUGCCAUCUCAGGAGCCACAGCCAGGAGAUGGACUGACAGAUUGCAAAUUAAAAUAGUCCUAAUGUAAGAAUGAAUGCAGCCCCCCCAAAUCUCUCCCAGCACCAGCCCGUUAGUAAUAAGCCCGGCAGGGAGGGAGCGUUGCUGCGGCUGGGCUGGUCCUGCACCCGGAGAAAGGCUAGGCAGGGACAAUAAAGCCAGUCCCGGGCAGAGAAAAUCACAAGGUGGAGCUGAAUACAAUGCCCACAUUUGUGGUUAGCUACAAGCAAAACAUUAUGAAGAUGAUGGUAUUCAGACACAUACUCAAACAACUGGAUUCAGACAAACAGGAUGCAAGACUGACCAACAAGAGAAGAACAGGCAUUAUGCAGACCAGCAGCAUUACAGACCUGCUGGAAGAGCUUAGCAGAAGAGCCAACGCUGCACUGAUGAUGUUUGAACAGAGGCCUGUGGUGGUCCAGCUUGUUGGAAACUUUUGUGUUCAAACCAGAAGGAUGCUGUAGAUGGAGCUAAUCUGAUUCUUGAAUCCCACUGAGGAUGCACAGAGCUGAUCUCUGAGUCUGUGAUAUCUGCUGCCACUGUAAGUGUGAAAAAGCGGUGCCUCUACCUGCUCUUUCUGAGUGCCCUGUAAUGAAAACCCUUUUGGAGCAACAUUGGAAAUAAGCCAUCACAAUAUCUGAUUAAACCUCUUAGGAAACUGUCACUAAUCACCUUCUCUGCUCUUGAUGGAAUAUAUUUAUGCAUUAUAAAUAUACUUACUGUGUGUGUGUGCUCCAUAAAUCACAUUCAGCACUUGUAUAUGAUGUAUAAGCAUAUUCUAUAGAAUACACACAAAUACAGAUGCCAAACUCCCACAGAGUUCAUCACUGGGAAAUGUUUGAAGGAUCUGAUCCUUAAUAUUUAAUGAGAAAGAUGCUAUUUCCUUCCUCAGCUUUUAUCUCUGGUUUGGCAUAGUCAUUAAAUUUGUUGUUUCCUUGCAAGAUUAUAUAAUUUAUGACCUAAUUUUAGACUUUUGUGUAACUGUGCUAAAAUACUCGUGGCAUAUCCGGAUUUUUUCAUACGGAGUAUUUCAGCAUUAGACACCAGCUAGAACAUGACUGCUCAGCUAUGAGCUUCCCAUCAGUAAGGAAUUACAAGCAUUAAAGGAAAACAGCCCAACAAUAUUCAGAUAGCAUUUCAGGAUUAGACAGUGGUGUUUUUUCCUCUGUAAAACUAUGAUUUAGCAACAUUUCCAAAGCCCGUCGUAUGCAGCAGUUGGCAGGAAUCCCCAGGUAAUACAGUAAUCACCCAGAAAUUCCUAUUACUUAAAAUAUUUUCAUGUAGCAUCUUCUGACUUUCAGACCGCUCUGGGAUGAAUUCAUACAGCCUUCAUCACAGGUACUGAUGUACAGAGCUGGGAAAAGGAGGUGAAGAAUGACACUCGGUGCUUUAAAGUGACUAUCAGCCCCCUCGCCCUCUGGAAGAAAGCAUUUGCUCUGCAGCACCAGGCUGGCUGGGGAGAUUUUUGCUGCACAAG
ensembl:lncRNA